rnacentral:rRNA from 1 species
UACGUAGGGGGCAAGCGUUGUCCGGAAUCAUUGGGCGUAAAGAGCGUGUAGGCGGCUUGGCAAGUCUCGCGUGAAAUCCUGCGGCUCAACCGCAGGCGGUCGCGGGAAACUGCCUCGCUAGAGUCCGGAAGAGGAGAGUGGAAUUCCUGGUGGUGAGCGGUGGAAUGCGCAGAUAGUCGGGAGGAACACCGGUGGCGAAGGCGGUUCUCUGGGCCUGACCUGACGCUGAGGAGACGAAAGCGUGGGGAGCGAACAGG